GGAAGGAUAAACUAAUAUUAAGUUGCUUGGCUCAUGACCAAGAAAUGGGUUUCCCUCUUUCCG
rnacentral:tRNA from 1 species